GAGGGUGUAGCUCAGGAGUAGAGCACAUGCUUAGCAUGCACGAGGGCCUGGGUUCGAUGCCCAGUUCCUCCG
rnacentral:tRNA from 1 species